rnacentral:lncRNA from 1 species
UUGGUAUUGUUUUAACUUUGCAGGUACACAAUUUCAUGAUUAACCCCCAUAUGCAAAGCAAGCAUGGUCUCACUUUAGUGAUGGAUAAAUCAAAUUGUUAUUUACGGCGCAUAAAACUUAUAAUGUUCAAGGGGAGAUUCUCAUCAGGGGGAGUAUCCAGAAGUAUGUUACUUAAAACAUAUGCGUGUUGUACUUUUUUUCUCAUUCGACAGGGUUAUUUUUCUACCACUGGGUUUUCUUACCUGAUAAGGUUUUUAACAAGACAACAUUAAACGUAUCUAAUUUCAUCAUUCAUUGGUGGACAUCCAAGGGGGAGUGUUAUAAAUAUUAUUAUCUAUGUGGUUGUCCACGUAAUUACUCAUUAGUUAUAUACUCUGAUGUAAACCCUACCUCUAUAUAAUAUCCAGGCCCGGACCUGAGAUUUUUAAGCCUGAGUCGAACUCUCUAAGUUGGGCCCCCAAAUUAGUGUAUGUUCAGUUUUUUUUUAUUUAUUAAUUUUUUUAUGUGUAAGGAUUUCAUGAACUAAACACUCAAAAUCCAAAGACGAACAACAUAUACUAUCCGAAAAUAUAUAUAAUAUAAUCAAAUUAUAAACUAAAAAUUUAUAAAACUAACACAAAUCUGAUUAUAGAAAUAAAAUUAUCAAAACCCUAUUGUUUUAGAAAUCAUAUUGCUAAUUAGAAGGUAUUUACAUAAUGUUCUCCUUUCCUUUUGGAUCUAAAAGGAGUGAAUGCAUUUUAAUAAUCUAUAUAUAAUUGUGUUUAACUUGUCUGGGCCCCUUAACUCUUUAAGAUGUCAGUGCUUUCCAUUUCAUUGGUAAAAAUAAGCUCUUCAUAGAUCAUAAGCCAAUCAAAUUUUCUUGCUUACUGGCCCUCUUAGACACUGGGCCCUGAGUCAACAGUCUCUUCUGUCUCAUAUCAGGUCCGGGUCUAAUAAUAUCUAUGUGGUUGUCCACGUAAUUACUCAUUAUUUUUGUACUCUGAUGUAAACCAUACCUCUAUAUAAGAAGGUUAAUGAGAAUGAAUGAGAACACUUCUACCUCUUCUCAACUAUUCUCUCCGUGUCUUUUCUUCUUUUUUUCUCUCUAUUUUAUAAUAAGCAUGACAGUAAUGAAAAAAAUGGCUUCAGAAUUAUUCUUUUAUAGAAUAAAGACAAAAUAAUAUAGAGCCAUUGAUUGAGAAUGAUAAAAUUAUAAUUUUUAGUUAAAAAUGAAAUGAUUGUUCUAGAAUAUUCACAUGUGUGUGCCAAGUCUAAUAUUAGUCAAAGAAGGAAUCUUUAUUCCAUAUAGAGAUAGGUUACCAAGUUGUAAUAUCUUAUAUAAAGGGACACAUAUUAAUGAAUAAGAUAAUGAUUAUUUAUUCUCUUUGCUAUCUCUCUUUAUUCUAUAGUUUGCUCGAUAACACAUUAUCAACACGAACGCCAAUGGAAUGGCAUAA